GUGAUUAAAUCGAGCGUGUCUUCAUUGACCGCUCACCCUUCUCACCGUCCACAUACACCUGUGCACUGUUUAGCCUGAGCCGGUUUUCCGGUCCAGGUUAUCAUUUCAUACAAACUCUAGUCUUAUGAAUGUAAACGUUUUAAUAACAUAAUA
rnacentral:misc_RNA from 1 species